rnacentral:rRNA from 1 species
GACGAACGCUGGCGGCGUGCUUAACACAUGCAAGUCGAACGGAGAGGCCAUGCUUUUGUGGGGUGCGCGAGUGGCGAAAGGGUGAGUAACACGUGAGUAACCUGCCCUUGACUGUGGGAUAACUUCAGGAGACAGGGGCUAAUAUCGGGUAGGAGCUCCGGCGGCAUGGUGGGGGUUGGAGAGAUUCGGCGGUUGGGGAUGGACUCGCGGCUUUUCAGCUUGUUGGUGGGGAGGUGUCUUACCGGGGCUUUGACGGGUAGCCGGCCUGCGACGGUGACAGGCCCCAGUGGGCCUGAGAUACCGCCCAGACUCCUUCGUGAGGCAGCGGUGGGGAACAUUGCACACUGGGCCGAGGCCGGAUGCAGCAUCGCCGGGUGCGGGAUGUCGGUUUUCGGGCUGUAACCCGCUUUCGCCUGUGACGAAGAGUGAGUGACGGUAAUUGGUAAAGAAGCACCGGCUAACUACGUG